UCCAGAGGUUUUGAAAAGAUUGCUCGCGGAUGAUGCCAUAGGAAAGGCUAGGAUUUCUUCUGAGGGGAUGCAUGGAAAGGAUGGGUUUACUGUAAGCAAACCCGUGAAUGAAAUUGAAGGUGGACAUGAUGAAUUGAUAAAUGAAGUGGACGUGGCUGCUGCGGCUGAAGAAAAAGAAACUCAUUCAUUUGAAAUAGACCCUGCUCAGGUUGAAAAUGUGAAGCAGCGGUGUCUACCAAAUGCUUUAAAUUAUCCUAUGAUGGAGGAGUAUGACUUCAGGAAUGAUACAGUUAAUCCUGAUCUUGAUAUGGAGUUGAAGCCUCAAGCACAGCCACGACCUUAUCAAGAGAAGAGUCUUAGUAAGAUGUUUGGAAAUGGAAGAGCAAGAUCUGGAAUUAUUGUGCUACCUUGUGGUGCCGGGAAGUCCUUAGUAGGUGUUUCUGCAGCAAGCAGAAUAAAAAAGAGCUGUCUUUGUUUAGCAACAAAUGCUGUGUCUGUGGAUCAAUGGGCUUUCCAGUUUAAGUUGUGGUCUACUAUCCGAGAAGAGCAGAUAUGUCGUUUCACAUCUGACAGCAAAGAAAGAUUCCGUGGAAAUGUUGGUGUGGUGGUG
rnacentral:misc_RNA from 1 species